UAGGGAAUCUUCGGCAAUGGACGAAAAGUCUGACCGAGCAACGCCGCCGUGAGUGAAGAAGGUUUUCGGAUCGUAAAACUCUGUUGGUAGAGAAGAACGUUGGUGAGAGUGGAAAGCUCAUCAAGUGACGGUAACUACCCAGAAAGGGACGGCUAACUACGUGCCAC
rnacentral:rRNA from 1 species